AACGAACGCUGGCGGCAGGCUUAACACAUGCAAGUCGAACGCCCCGCAAGGGUAGUGGCAGACGGGUGAGUAACGCGUGGGAACAUACCCUUUUCUACGGAAUAGCUCUGGGAAACUGGAAUUAAUACCGUAUACGCCCUACGGGGGAAAGAUUUAUCGGGGAAGGAUUGGCCCGCGUUGGAUUAGCUAGUUGGUGGGGUAAAGGCCUACCAAGGCGACGAUCCAUAGCUGGUCUGAGAGGAUGAUCAGUCACAUUGGGACUGAGAAACGGCCCAAACUCCUACGCGAGGCAGCAGUUGGGAAUAUUGGACAAUGGUCGCAAGCCUGGUCCCGCCAUCCCGCGUCAGUUAUGAAGGCCUUAGGGUUGUAAAGCUCUUUCACCGAUGAAGAUAAUGACGGUAGUCGGAGAAGAAGCCCCGGCUAACUUCGUGCCAGCCGCCGCCGUAAUAC
rnacentral:rRNA from 1 species